GUUAGGGCUUGGGUUAUGGGUGGCGGUUUAACCCCGUCAGGUCCGAGAGGAAGCAGCGGCCUACCGCUUAUCCAGGAAUCCAAUUCCCCUUUCCA
rnacentral:SRP_RNA from 1 species